CCUACGGCGUGCAGCAGUGGGGAAUAUUGGACAAUGGGCGAAAGCCUGAUCCAGCCAUGCCGCGUGUGUGAAGAAGGCCUUCGGGUUGUAAAGCACUUUCAGUGGGGAAGAAAGCCUUGGGGCUAAUACCCUCGAGGAAGGACAUCACCCACAGAAGAAGCACCGGCUAACUCCGUGCCAGCAGCCGCGGUAAUACGGAGGGUGCGAGCGUUAAUCGGAAUUACUGGGCGUAAAGCGCGCGUAGGCGGUCUGAUAAGCCGGUUGUGAAAGCCCCGGGCUCAACCUGGGAACGGCAUCCGGAACUGUCAGGCUAGAGUGCAGGAGAGGAAGGUAGAAUUCCCGGUGUAGCAGUGAAAUGCGUAGAGAUCGGGAGGAAUACCAGUGGCGAAGGCGGCCUUCUGGACUGACACUGACGCUGAGGUGCGAAAGCGUGGGUAGCAAACAGGAUUAGAUACCCUGGUAGUC
rnacentral:rRNA from 1 species